AUAAUGGGUCAGCGACUUAUAUUCUGUAGCAAGGUUAACCGAAUAGGGGAGCCGAAGGGAAACCGAGUCUUAACUGGGCGUUAAGUUGCAGGGUAUAGACCCGAAACCCGGUGAUCUAGCCAUGGGCAGGUUGAAGGUUGGGUAACACUAACUGGAGGACCGAACCGACUAAUGUUGAAAAAUUAGCGGAUGACUUGUGGCUGGGGGUGAAAGGCCAAUCAAACCGGGAGAUAGCUGGUUCUCCCCGAAAGCUAUUUAGGUAGCGCCUCGUGAAUUCAUCUCCGGGGGUAGAGCACUGUUUCGGCAAGGGGGUCAUCCCGACUUACCAACCCGAUGCAAACUGCGAAUACCGGAGAAUGUUAUCACGGGAGACACACGGCGGGUGCUAACGUCCGUCGUGA
rnacentral:rRNA from 1 species